AAAAGCUAAGCCCACAGCUCAUUCCCUUCAUUAAAAGAAAAUCACACACACACACAACCCACAAACACACGCACGCGCACACACACACACCCAGACGCACCCUCACUCUCUCUCCCUCUCCCUCUCACGCUACUGCCGCCGCCGCCUGACGGCGGCGCCGUCCAACGGAGGCCGGCAGCCCCCCUCUCUCUCCUCCGACUUCUCUCUCUUCUCCCAGCCCUCUCUCUUCCGGCAGCAGCAGCUGCCUUCGCCGUCCCUGCACGGAGCAGCGCCGCGGCCUCACCUUUCCUCCAGAUCCGGCACCGCCGGCGCCGCGUCGACAGCAGCACAGCAGCAGCGGCGCCGUGGCCGACGCCUCCUCCUCCUCCUGCCACGCCGAGCAGCCGACGCUGCUCUCCUUCUCCGGCUAAAAACCGCCGCCCAACAUCCCUCCCCAAAUCAUCUCAAAACCAUCUACCUCAUUCUAGUCUUCUAAUUCCUUUUUAUGUUAUAAAGUAAAAAUUCUUUCUUUUUCUCAUGUAUUGGGCAAAUCACUAGAGAUUGAUACUUACAAGUUGUGUUCUUUGAUUUGUUUGGUGUAUGGCUGAAUUUGAUUUUGGGUAGAGAUGGUUCACAGAAAUUGCUAUAUUUUUGUAUGAAAUCUUGCAGAGAAAAGAAGCUGAUGGAAAUUGAGUUUCUGUGAAUGAUGUUGAGUUUUGGCAAAUUUAUUCCGGGAAGAAAAAAUGAACGUAA
rnacentral:lncRNA from 1 species